CCCGUCACCUUCCUGUCACCUCCACACACAACCAGAAGCUUCGCUUCACUCUGCCCUCCGCCGCCGCCGCCGCGCCUGCAGCCGCCGGGGGCAGGAACUUGCCCGUGCUGAUUCCACGCGCCUGCUCCCGUCUUGUCUCCGCGCAGGAAUCUGUUCAUAAUGGCACGUGUGUAUGUUGGCAACUUGGAUGCCCGGGUGACUUCUGGGGAACUUGAAGACGAGUUUCGUGUGUUUGGAGUUCUGCGAAGUGUCUGGGUUGCACGUAAACCACCUGGCUUUGCAUUUAUUGAUUUUGAUGAUAGGAGGGAUGCGGAGGAUGCAAUUCGUGAUCUAGAUGGUAAGAAUGGAUGGAGAGUUGAGCUAUCUCGUAAUUCCAGUGGUCGUGGUGGUCGUGAUCGGUAUGGUGGAUCUGAGUCGAAGUGCUACGAGUGUGGUGAGACUGGGCACUUUGCACGUGAAUGCCGUCUGCGUAUUGGCUCUGGAGGUCUAGGCAGUGGAAGGCGUCGCAGCAGGAGCAGGAGCCGCAGCCGCAGCCCCAGGUACCGAAGGAGUCCAAGCUAUAGUAGAAGAAGCUAUAGCCCUCGUUACCGCUCUCCGAGGCGCCGUAGUCCUUCUCCAGCUCGUGGACGCAGCUAUAGCAGGUCGCCGUAAUACAACAGCGACCAAUAUAGGCUAAUGGAGAUAAUGAUGCCUGUACUGGUGACCUGAAGCCCGUGUCUGAUUCUUGUUCUGUGUGAGAACUUGCUCCUUGGUUUGGCUGCCAAGAACAAAUUCAGAACUGUCGUCAACUGCAUGACUUCAGUUCAGGCGUGUUCUGCUUAAACGACUUGGCCAUCUACGGCUCUCAGUUGUAGUCUGCAUGGUUUUGUUCGUCCUUCAUUCUUCGCACGCCCUUCCUGCAAACGAAUGCCAACCUUCUAUUACUCCCUGCCUUCGAUGUCUCGUCAAGUCAUCAUGACUGAAAUUCUUCACCGAAGAUGCUACUUCGUCACAAAUUAUAGUAACAUCCUUUUCCUCCAAAUAGUUGAUUAGGUUUUAGUGUACAGAGAACUAACAAAUGCAGCUUGCGAAAGUAAUAGGGCCAUUGAUUUUCUUCAUAGAACAAGAACUCCACAGCAUGUUGCUAAUGCUGCUGUGUGAAAAUAAAUCUACAAUUGUGCAUGCUGGGGAUUGGGGUGAAUGAAGUGUGGGCCUUCAGCUGCACCUAGUUGGGCAUCCAAGGCACUUGAUCAGGCUGACUUCAGCAAGGGGCACAGCCUUCGACUGACUUGUUGGUUCUAUUCAUUGUGGUUUUGGUUCUACACUCCACGGUCCCUGUGUUCUGCCUUCACUGCAUAAUCAUGAUUGGUAGCUUAUGUUGUGCCUUUGUGGUAAGUUUUUUCUUUGUAACUUGGGUAAUGCUUAUGUUGUGCCUUUGUGGUAAGUUCUUCAUAACUUCAGCUGUUUUCUUUUCACAUCAGUGUUGUCGGACUCGUUCAGUUGUAGUAUAAAUAUUUUUUCUCUCUCUCUCUAGAAUAUAAAUUGUAAUUGUAUGCAAGUAUGUUCACAAAAUAAUGUACAGAUUUGAGGUAUAUCUUGAGUGAGGACCUUUCCAAUGUA